rnacentral:snoRNA from 1 species
CUUUGUGAUGAUACCCCAUUUUUACUUAUUUCUGGUACCUCUUAUGUGAGGGGAUCUUUUGAUCACCCAUGACCUAAUUGGACUUCUGAAU